UACCUAAUGAAAUACCAGCACCACUUCCCGCAGUGCUGAGAUGUACCUUGGACAAGUUCUGAGCUGACUGAACGACAGAUCUGCUUAAGCUUCAUCAGGGGACGUUUGAGUCACAAGACUGUGGUCUCCAGCUCCAGUCUGGGUCACCCUGAUAUUGGACAUUGGACUAUAUAACAUAUGGCUCUCCAGUGCAUGCUGAACUCAUUUUGUGGGAGGAAGCUCUGUGCAUGGGAACCGGUAUGGAAUAUUCAUUAGA